rnacentral:rRNA from 1 species
GGCUCAGGACGAACGCUGGCGGCGUGCCUAACACAUGCAAGUCGAGCGGGGACAUUGCGACGGACAUGAAGUUUUCGGAUGGAUUGAAAGAUGUAAUGUUCUAGCGGCGGACGGGUGAGUAACGCGUGAGCAACCUGUCCCUUACAGGGGGAUAACACAGCGAAAGUUGUACUAAUACCGCAUGAGACCACAGAGCGACAUCGCUUAGGGGUCAAAGGAGUAAUCCGGUAAGGGGUGGGCUCGCGUCCGAUUAGAUAGUUGGUGAGGUAACGGCCCACCAAGUCGACGAUCGGUAGCCGACCUGAGAGGGUGAUCGGCCACAUUGGGACUGAGACACGGCCCAAACUCCUACGGGAGGCAGCAGUGGGGAAUAUUGGGCAAUGGGGGAAACCCUGACCCAGCAACGCCGCGUGAGGGAAGAAGGUUUUCGGAUCGUAAACCUCUGUCCUUGGUGAAGAGAAAGAGACGGUAGCCAAGGAGGAAGCCCCGGCUAACUACGUGCCAGCAGCCGCGGUAAUACGUAGGGGGCGAGCGUUGUCCGGAAUGAUUGGGCGUAAAGGGCGCGUAGGCGGCCCGGUAAGUCUGAAGUGAAAGUCCUGCUUUUAAGGUGGGAAUUGCUUUGGAUACUGUCGGGCUUGAGUGCAGGAGAGGUAAGUGGAAUUCCCAGUGUAGCGGUGAAAUGCGUAGAGAUUGGGAGGAACACCAGUGGCGAARGCGACUUACUGGACUGUAACUGACGCUGAGGCGCGAAAGUGUGGGGAGCAAACAGGAUUAGAUACCCUGGUAGUCCACACUGUAAACGAUGAAUGCUAGGUGUAGGGGGUAUCGACCCCUUCUGUGCCGCAGUUAACACAAUAAGCAUUCCGCCUGGGGAGUACGGCCGCAAGGUUGAAACUCAAAGGAAUUGACGGGGGCCCGCACAAGCAGCGGAGCAUGUGGUUUAAUUCGACGCAACGCGAAGAACCUUACCAGGUCUUGACAUCCAGUAAAACUUGUAGAGAUACAUCGUGUCUUCGGACAUACUGAGACAGGUGGUGCAUGGUUGUCGUCAGCUCGUGUCGUGAGAUGUUGGGUUAAGUCCCGCAACGAGCGCAACCCUUAUUUUCAGUUACUAACAGGUAAAGCUGAGGACUCUGAAGAGACUGCCGGGGACAACUCGGAGGAAGGUGGGGACGACGUCAAAUCAUCAUGCCCCUUAUGACCUGGGCUACACACGUGCUACAAUGGCCACCACAGA